UACAGAGGGUGCAAGCGUUAAUCGGAAUUACUGGGCGUAAAGCGCAUGUAGGUGGUUAUACAAGUCUGAUGUGAAAGCCCUGGGCUUAACCUGGGAACUGCGUUGGAAACUGUAUAGCUAGAGUCGGAUAGAGGAUAGUGGAAUUUCCGGUGUAGCGGUGAAAUGCGUAGAGAUCGGAAAGAACAUCAGUGGCGAAGGCGGCUAUCUGGAUCCAGACUGACACUGAGGUGCGAAAGCGUGGGGAGCAAACAGG
rnacentral:rRNA from 1 species